GAGGGUAUAGCUCAGUGGUAGAGCAUGUGCUCGGUGUGCAUAAAUUCCUGGGUUUGGUCCCCAGUGCCCCUG
rnacentral:tRNA from 1 species